CGGUAAUUCCAGCUCCAAUAGCGUAUACUAAAGUUGUUGCAGUUAAAAAGCUCGUAGUUGGAUUUCUGCGGGGACGGAGCGGCCGGACGCAACUUGCGUCUCGAGCUAGCGCUUUCCCCACAUCCUGCCGCGAACCGUGCUACCAUUAGCUUGGUGGCGCUGGGGAUCGGCUCGAUUACUUUGAGAAAAAUAGAGUGUUCAAAGCAGGCCACACGCCUUGAAUAAGUUAGCAUGGAAUAAUGAUUAAGGACUUCGGUUCUAUUUUAUUGGUGUUCGGGACUGAAGUAAUGAUUGAUAGGGACAGUUGGGGCGGUCUGUAUUCCAAAGCGAGAGGUGAAAUUCUUAGACCUUCGGAAGACAAACAGCUGCGAAAGCGUUCCGCAAGGAUGUUCCCUUUGAUCAAGAACGAAAGUUGGGGGAUCGAAGACGAUCAGAUACCGUCGUAGUCUCAACUAUAAACUAUACCAGCUAGGGAUCGGCCAACGUUUAACUUUAUCGACUUGGUCGGCACCUUAUGAGAAAUCAAAGCAUCUGGGUUCCGGGGGGAGUAUGGUCGCAAGGCUGAAACUUAAAGGAAUUGACGGAAGGGCACCACCAGGCGUGGAGCCUGUGGCUUAAUUUGACUCAACACGGGAAAACUUACCAGGUCCAGACAUAGGAAGGAUUGACAGAUUGAUAGCUCUUUCUUGAUUCUGUGGGUGGUGGUGCAUGGCCGUUUUUAGUCGGUGAAGUGAUUUGUCUGCUUAAUUGCGUUAACGGACGAGACCCCAGCCUGCUAAAUAGCGCGGCCGAGCUUUGCUCGGUGCGAGCUUCUUAGAGGGACCAUGAUGCGCGAUAGCACAAGGAAGUUUGGGGCAACAACAGGUCUGUGAUGCCCUUAGAUGUUCUGGGCCGCACACGGGCUACACUGGCGCCUGCAACGAGCAUAUCAGCUGGCCCGAGAGGGUCUUGGCUAAUCUUUGGAACCGGCGCCGUGCUUGGGAUUGACCAUUGCAAUUGUUGGUCAUGCAACGAGGAAUGCCUUGUAAACGCGAGUCAUCAGCUCGCAUUGAAUACGUCCCUGCCCUUUGUACACACCGCCCGUCGCUCCUACCGAUGAAUGUUCCGAUGAAAUUUUCGGAGAGCGCCAGAGAACGGGGCUCUGCCUUGCAGAUCUGGAGGCUCAAAGUCACUUAAAUCUGAACAUUUCGAGGAAGGAGAAGUCGUAAAGGGGUAACC
rnacentral:rRNA from 1 species